rnacentral:RNase_P_RNA from 1 species
AAGUGUGGAUGGUCGCUGUCUGUUGCAAAACAGACAGAGGAAAGUCCAGGCUCGCCCGGGCUGAGAUGCCCGGAGUGUUUGUGCCUAUCGCAAGGUAGGGCAGCCGGUGGUCCGGCUGACGGCGGUGAAAUCGGCUACGUUCCUUUUGGAAUAUGCCGAAACUAGCCUGAAAGUGCCACAGUGACGAAGCUCUGUGGGAAACCACAGAGGUGGAACGAGGUAAACCCCUCAAGCGAGCAACCCAAAUUUUGGUAGGGGCACUGUCUGAAGGGAACUGAACCGGACGACAGACGAAGAAUGCUUCGUAGAUAGAUGACUGUCACUUCUUGUACCAGGCUGGCUGCCGCUACGAGUACGGAAGUACAAAACCUGGCUUACAGCA